CCUACGGGGGGCAGCAGUGAGGAAUAUUGGUCAAUGGGCUUACGCCUGAACCAGCCAAGUCGCGUGAGGGAAGACUGCCCUAUGGGUUGUAAACCUCUUUUGUCAGGGAGCAAUUGGCGCUACGUGUAGCGUUAUCGAGAGUACCUGAAGAAAAAGCAUCGGCUAACUCCGUGCCAGCAGCCGCGGUAAUACGGAGGAUGCGAGCGUUAUCCGGAUUUACUGGGUGUAAAGGGAGCGUAGACGGUUAUGUAAGUCUGGAGUGAAAGCCCGGGGCCCAACCCCGGGACUGCUUUGGAAACUGUGUAACUGGAGUACAGGAGGGGCAGGCGGAAUUCCUGGUGUAGCGGUGAAAUGCGUAGAUAUCAGGAGGAACACCGGCGGCGAAGGCGGCCUGCUGGACUGAAACUGACGUUGAGGCUCGAAAGCGUGGGGAGCAAACAGGAUUAGAUACCCCAGUAGUC
rnacentral:rRNA from 1 species